CGUGCGAGACCUUCGGGUCUAGCGGCGGACGGGUUAGUAACGCGUGGGAACGUGCCCUUCUCUAUGGAAUAGCCUCGGGAAACUGAGAGUAAUACCGUAUACGCCCUUCGGGGGAAAGAUUUAUCGGAGAAGGAUCGGCCCGCGUCUGAUUAGAUAGUUGGUGGGGUAAUGGCCUACCAAGUCUACGAUCAGUAGCUGGUUUUAGAGGAUGAUCAGCAACACUGGGACUGAGACACGGCCCAGACUCCUACGGGAGGCAGCAGUGGGGAAUCUUAGACAAUGGGCGAAAGCCUGAUCUAGCCAUGCCGCGUGUGUGAUGAAGGCCUUAGGGUCGUAAAGCACUUUCGCUGGGGAAGAUAAUGACUGUACCCAGUAAAGAAACCCCGGCUAACUCCGUGCCAGCAGCCGCGGUAAUACGGAGGGGGUUAGCGUUGUUCGGAAUUACUGGGCGUAAAGCGCGCGUAGGCGGAUUAGAAAGUUGGGGGUGAAAUCCCGGGGCUCAACCUCGGAACUGCCUCCAAAACUACUAGUCUAGAGUUCGAGAGAGGUGAGUGGAAUUCCGAGUGUAGAGGUGAAAUUCGUAGAUAUUCGGAGGAACACCAGUGGCGAAGGCGGC
rnacentral:rRNA from 1 species